AUCGUAACAAGGUUUCCGUAGGUGAACCUGCGGAAGGAUCAUUA
rnacentral:rRNA from 6 species